rnacentral:rRNA from 1 species
UGGGGAAUUUUGGACAAUGGGCGAAAGCCUGAUCCAGCAAUGCCGCGUGAGUGAAGAAGGCCUUCGGGUUGUAAAGCUCUUUUGUCAGGGAAGAAACGGUGAGAGCUAAUAUCUUUUGCUAAUGACGGUACCUGAAGAAUAAGCACCGGCUAACUACGUGCCAGCAGCCGCGGUAAUACGUAGGGUGCAAGCGUUAAUCGGAAUUACUGGGCGUAAAGCGUGCGCAGGCGGUUUUGUAAGUCUGAUGUGAAAUCCCCGGGCUCAACCUGGGAAUUGCAUUGGAGACUGCAAGGCUAGAAUCUGGCAGAGGGGGGUAGAAUUCCACGUGUAGCAGUGAAAUGCGUAGAUAUGUGGAGGAACACCGAUGGCGAAGGCAGCCCCCUGGGUCAAGAUUGACGCUCAUGCACGAAAGCGUGGGGANCAAACAGGAUUAGAUACCCUGGUAGUCCCUGAGCGGGCUGGCAAGGCGCAU